AUUGAACGCUGGCGGCAGGCCUAACACAUGCAAGUCGAGCGGAGCGGCGGACGGGUGAGUAAUGCCUAGGAAUCUGCCUGGUCGUGGGGGAUAACGUCCGGAAACGGGCGCUAAUACCGCCUACCAUCGGAUGUGCCCAGAGUGGAUUCGCUUGUAGGUGGGGUAACGGCUCACCUAGGCGACGAUCCGUAGCUGGUCUGAGAGGAGGACCAGCCACACUGGAACUUAGCCACGGUCCAGACGCCUACGGGAGGCAGCAGUGGGGAACAUGGCACAAUGGGCGGGAGCCUGGUGCAGCCAUGCCGCGUGUAGUAAGAAGGCCGUCGGGUUGUAAAGUACUUUCAGCGGGUAGGCGUUACCCGCAGAAGAAGCACCGGCUAACUCCGUGCCAGCAGCCGCGGUAAUAC
rnacentral:rRNA from 1 species